UACGGAGGGUGCAAGCGUUAAUCGGAAUUACUGGGCGUAAAGCGCACGCAGGUGGCUGAGUCAGUCGAUUGUGAAAGCCCUGGGCUUAACCUGGGAAUUGCAGUCGAUACUACUCAGCUAGAGUAUGGGAGAGGGCAGUGGAAUUCCCGGUGUAGCGGUGAAAUGCGUAGAUAUCGGGAGGAACAUCAGUGGCGAAGGCGAGUUCCUGGACAAGUCCUGACGCUGAGGCACGAAAGCCAGGGGAGCAAACAGG
rnacentral:rRNA from 1 species